GGGCGGGUAGCUCAGUGGCAGAGCGUCUCGCUUACAACGAGAAGGUCAGAGGUUCGAUUCCUCUCCCGCCCA
rnacentral:tRNA from 2 species